rnacentral:rRNA from 1 species
CAGGAUGAACGCUAGCGGCAGGCUUAACACAUGCAUGUCGAGGGGCAGCGCGAGUAGCAAUACUUGGCGGCGACCGGCGCAAGGGUGCGUAACGCGUGAGCAACAUGCCCGUAUCAGGGGGAUAAUCCAGGGAAACUUGGUCUAAUACCCCAUAGUAAUUUUGUAAGGCAUCUUAUAAGAUUUAAAGCUUUGGUGGAUACGGAUUGGCUCGCGUGACAUUAGCUGGAUGGUAAGGUAACGGCUUACCAUGGCUAUGAUGUCUAGGGGUUCUGAGAGGAAGGUCCCCCACACUGGAACUGAGACACGGUCCAGACUCCUACGGGAGGCAGCAGUGAGGAAUAUUGGACAAUGGAUGGAGAUCUGAUCCAGCCAUGCCGCGUGAAAGGAAGAAGGUCCUAUGGAUUGUAAACUUCUUUUGUAUGGGAGCAAUAAGGCCUACGAGUAGGUUGAUGAGAGUACCAUACGAAUAAGCACCGGCUAACUCCGUGCCAGCCGCCGC